AUCUUUGCACAGGGGCGAUAUCGGAACCAAUGAAGUCUAUCCAAGGUACUAUUUUUGCUCAUUGAAACAUUUUAAAAUUACAUUUUCACACAAAAAAUAUGUUUGUUUAGGAUCAUAAUAU